AUGAACGCUAGCUACAGGCUUAACACAUGCAAGUCGAGGGGCAGCAUGGUCUUAGCUUGCUAAGGCCGAUGGCGACCGGCGCACGGGUGAGUAACACGUAUCCAACCUGCCGUCUACUCUUGGACAGCCUUCUGAAAGGAAGAUUAAUACAAGAUGGCAUCAUGAGUCCGCAUGUUCACAUGAUUAAAGGUAUUCCGGUAGACGAUGGGGAUGCGUUCCAUUAGAUAGUAGGCGGGGUAACGGCCCACCUAGUCUUCGAUGGAUAGGGGUUCUGAGAGGAAGGUCCCCCACAUUGGAACUGAGACACGGUCCAAACUCCUACGGGAGGCAGCAGUGAGGAAUAUUGGUCAAUGGGCGAGAGCCUGAACCAGCCAAGUAGCGUGAAGGAUGACUGCCCUAUGGGUUGUAAACUUCUUUUAUAAAGGAAUAAAGUCGGGUAUGCAUACCCGUUUGCAUGUACUUUAUGAAUAAGGAUCGGCUAACUCCGUGCCAGCAGCCGCGGUAAUACGGAGGAUCCGAGCGUUAUCCGGAUUUAUUGGGUUUAAAGGGAGCGUAGAUGGAUGUUUAAGUCAGUUGUGAAAGUUUGCGGCUCAACCGUAAAAUUGCAGUUGAUACUGGAUAUCUUGAGUGCAGUUGAGGCAGGCGGAAUUCGUGGUGUAGCGGUGAAAUGCUUAGAUAUCACGAAGAACUCCGAUUGCGAAGGCAGCCUGCUAAGCUGCAACUGACAUUGAGGCUCGAAAGUGUGGGUAUCAAACAGGAUUAGAUACCCUGGUAGUCCACACGGUAAACGAUGAAUACUCGCUGUUUGCGAUAUACUGCAAGCGGCCAAGCGAAAGCGUUAAGUAUUCCACCUGGGGAGUACGCCGGCAACGGUGAAACUCAAAGGAAUUGACGGGGGCCCGCACAAGCGGAGGAACAUGUGGUUUAAUUCGAUGAUACGCGAGGAACCUUACCCGGGCUUAAAUUGCAGAUGAAUUACGGUGAAAGCCGUAAGCCGCAAGGCAUCUGUGAAGGUGCUGCAUGGUUGUCGUCAGCUCGUGCCGUGAGGUGUUGGGUUAAGUCCCGCAACGAGCGCAACCCCUGUUUCUAGUUGCCAGCAUGUAAAGAUGGGAACUCUAGAAAGACUGCCGUAGAUAAUACGGAGGAAGGUGGGGAUGACGUCAAAUCAGCACGGCCCUUACGUCCGGGGCUACACACGUGUUACAAUGGGGGGUACAGAGGGCCGCUACCACGCGAGUGGAUGCCAAUCCCAAAAACCUCUCUCAGUUCGGACUGGAGUCUGCAACCCGACUCCACGAAGCUGGAUUCGCUAGUAAUCGCGCAUCAGCCACGGCGCGGUGAAUACGUUCCCGGGCCUUGUACACACCGCCCGUCAAGCCAUGGGAGCCGGGGGUACCUGAAGUGCGUAACCGCGAGGAGCGCCCUAGGGUAAAACUGGUGACUGGGGCU
rnacentral:rRNA from 1 species